CAGGUGGUGCCUUGUGCCGAAGGGACAGGUGGAGCCAGUGAGGAUGACCACGUACCCUCCUGAACGGGCUGAAGCCAUGAGAGCAGUGGGGACGUGGGAAGAGCAAAGGACCAGGAGUGACACGACCACCACCUCCUGCAGAUCCCGCUUCCGAUGCUGGUCUCAGAGAAGCCUCCUCAGCCCUGACGCAGUCGGUCUACCCCCACCCAAAUCCACCCCCCGCAUUUCUUUUGAGCCAUCUGACACCACCUCCAUUGCACCUGCUCCCCGACCGUUCAACAGGCUGCACCA